ACACCCAGGGCUAGAAUUCUGGGUUCACUGCUCUACCUGUAUGACCUUGGAACCCUCGAACCUUUUUGAGCCUGAGCUACAUAAAAUGGGGACUGUAAAAUCCAUCUAAUAAAGCUGUUGGGAGGAGCAGACAGUCCAUGUAAUAUAGCAGUUCCUCUGCAAAGAAGUAGUGGUCUGCUGCUGGGGGCCAAUCCACAAAGAGCACUCGGAAUAGAGUCCUGGGAAGAAAGCGCCACUCAUCUUCCUGCUGGUGGCUGUGGUGGAGACCUCUCUCUGAAUUCCUCAUUCUAGGUUACCUUUGAAGCUACACUUCCUUAAACACCGGCCACAUCCUUGCCCUCAAGGAUGGUACAGACAUGAAGUUAGGAACCAGAAAAAUCAGACUUUGUAAGCCGGAAGAAACAACCAAGUUCUUCGCCAGCCCCACAGCCAACAGAGUAGGAUUGGCAGCAGCAGGAUGACAGAGGUGUCUACCACUUCACUUCAAAGAUCUCUCCUCAGAUUUCUCAUGUGUUUCCAGGAAGAACAUUUAUAUUGGCAGUUGAUUCUGGGAUAUUAACAGUCCAUGUAAAAGGAAAAGUUAUUUAAUUUACACAUGUGCUAUUACCUCAUCCCCAAAAUAACUGAAGGAAAUUCCUGUAAAAAACUAGUGGGAAGCCAGGCAUGGUGGUUCAUGUUUGUAAUCUCAGCACUCAGCAGGCUGAGGCAGGAGAAUCGUUGUGAGCUCAAGACCAGCAGGGGCUACAAAGUGAACUCAAGGCCAGCUGAACUGCAAUUAGUGGGAAAGAACAGAUCAGUAGCACCCUAUAGUCUCCUUCCUUCUAGGAAAUCUGUUUCAGACUUUACCUUAACAUAGUUAAUUUUUCCUUGUGAGCCUCUAUUCAUUAAUCUGUACACUGGGGUCACAUAAUUUAAAUUCUUGUUGUGCGUGAUAAUGCUCCCAGUUGUUUGCCAUCGACUGUCAAACUCUCCAGGAUUUGAGAUGGAGGCGGGGCAUAGCAAGAGGCAACCUCUGGUAAAACAUGGUAGGUUAAUCAUACAAUUUUGUGUCUUAUCCAUUUUCUCAACUUAUUGCAUGUGACAAUGAUGAGGAUAAAAGUAUUAAGCCAUUAGGGGAAAAUAAACAAAGACCCAAAUGGACAAAAGACUAUCAAAAUGUUGGGAGAGGAAAAGCAAAGACAAAAAAACAAAAAACAAAAACAAAACAAAACAAUAAAACUCCUUUAGCAGGCAGAAGACAAGGAGAUGGUAUUUCUGACAAAAUUAGAACUCCAGGAGGUUCUUACUGCUGUGGAAAGCUGGGGACAGUGCGUGGCUGGAAACCAGAUGGGUUUGGUGUCUGAGUCUCGCACUAUUGAUUCCUAGUUCUCCUCUCCUACCCCAAACAGCCAGGAGGAGAGGACCUUUCUCUCACCUUCACAACAGGGGCUCAUUCUCCAGAGAACCUAGCAUUCCAGAGGUGGUCUGGUUCAAUGUAUUCAUUUGUACAGAAACAAGUGGACACCUGCAAAUUGAAUACAGGGUAGUACACAGCCCUUUCCCCCACUUUUCAUCUAGAACAUCACAGUUCCUACAGUUAAUUCCCCAUACCUUCAAGCUACAGUGUUCUUUGGAUAAAAAAGAUCCUUAAGUGAAAAACAGGAAGGCUAUGUUCAUAUAUUGGGUUAUGGGUUUAUUGGGAUUUAUUUUGACCUUUUUUUUCUAUCUGCUUUUCUGUGCCUUUUAACAUAUCACUUGUUAUGCUUGCCUUCCCGGCCCCCGACUUUAUUUUCUUUGAGACACAAUCUUGCUAUGUAGUUCAGGCUGGUCUUGAACUCAUUAUGUAGCCCAGGCUGGCCUCGAAUUUGCAGGGUCUUCCUACCUCAUCCUUCCAAAUGCUGAGGUUAUGGGUGUGCACCAACAUGUCCAGCCUGGAAACUAUAUUGUGUUUUCUUUUUUUUUUUUUUUUUUUUUUUAGUGGUUACUUUAAAUUUUAACAUGAAUUACCUAAAAUUGAUCUGUAGCUAGAUCCUCCUCCAACUCAGUAGAGGUACUUAGAAUAUUUCUACUCCAAUCACUCCUCCUCUGUUGACAGUUUGAGUUUCACUUAAUUUUUAUUACUCCCAUACAAGUUUCACUGAUGCUCAUUUAGAUUUAUCCACACAUUGACCAACUUCUUUGCUCACCACUUUUACCUCUUAUUCAUUUUUCUGGACUUAAUUUUACCCAUCCUUAAAGUACUGUUUUAAAUAGUAAGAGUCUCUUAUAAGUGGAAAAUUUUUUCAGUCUUUACCUCAGUUAUUAUCAUGUCCCAUUUAAAAAAUUUUUAACCUACUGAAGAUUAAAAUACACUUUCAGAAUCUGGGAGCUAUUCCACUGUCUGAUGACUUCUGUUGGUGUGUUUGACAAGUCUGCUGUUGUUCUAAUUGUCUUUCAUUUAUUUCAUGUUCUCUAAAUAUUUUCAACAUAUUUAUGUUUGGUGUUUGGCAGUUUAGUAUGUCUAAUUGUUGCCUUGUAAACUUUUCUCUGUAGGGACUUAUUGUAUUUUGUGAAUCUGAUAAUUAAUGCCUUUUAUCACUUUAGACAAUUUUUAGCAAUUAUAGCUUCUUCUUUUGCCUUUCCCCAUUCCUGCAUGCUUUUCCUUUGAUGAUCGUAUUAGAAGUAUACUUGUCUUGUCAUCCUUUCCUUAUCUCAGUUAACCUCUUCUGUACUUUGCUUUUUUAUCUAACUGUGCAAUGGUUUCAGUACUUUAAGUCUCUCAUACACUUACUUUGUUCUUCAGUUUCUAUUCUGCUAUUAACACAUUUUUUUUGAGUUUAAUUGAUCUCAAUUUCACCUCAAAUUUUGCCUCAAGUUCUUGGUUCUUUUUUCUAAGGUCCUUGUUCUUACUGCCUUGGUGACUUCCAAAAGCUAAGCUACUCCAUGAAAAAAAGUAUGUCAUCCAUACUAAGAGUAAAGAACCACAGGGUCAAAAGAUUUGUAGGUAAGAAUGUGAAUCUGUUUAAUAUUAACAAAUAUUCUUACUGUAGCGUAAGAGAUUUCAUAUGCAGUGCCUCCAUAGUCAUGUAAACAACCCCAUAAAGCAGAUGCUGAAGCUAACCCCAUGUUUAGAGAAGAAAAAUGAACCAUAAGUGAAAGAUUUGAUAAGAAUAUAAAAGAUAAAAAUUGGUAGAGCUGGUUUUGAAAACUGUCUUCAUCGGAGUGUGUUAGUGUCAAAAUAAAUGUAAUAGCCAGGUGUGGUGGUACACACCUGUAAUCCCAGCACUCAGGUAGCUAAGGCGAAAGGAUCACCAUGAAAAAAAAAAAAAGACGGACAGUUAGAUUUGACUCUUAGUUUUGAAUUUUCAGCAGAAAAGGGAAAACUGCAGGAAAUGACAUUCUUCAUUCUCCUAGUCAGUUUGGACACUUUGCCAUCUGUGUUUCCUUUGUUCUUGUAAAGAGAUGAACCAUAGCUGUUGACUGAAGUUUAGGGCACUAUCAUACAGUUCCAGUGAAUAGGUAGGUAAGAUCUAUGGAAAAAAUAAGUUUAUUCUAGUGUAAGCUGCAUAGUGUCUUCCUUACAAAAAGUAAAGAAGUGGGGGAGGUAGCUUAAUAUUAAGUGAGAAUCCUGAAGUAUUACUCUAUUCAGGUGAUUGUCACUCUCAACAAUAAUAUCAUGAUAGCAUGGACAUUUCAAAUGUUGAGAUCUCCCCCUAAAAUCCUAUUGCUCCAAUCUAAUCAUUGUGAAAAACACUGGACAGAUCUAGUAUAGAAACUCCUGUAAGAUAUUUUACUGUACACCUUAAAAAUGUUAAAUGAUGUCCAAAGUAAGUCAGAUACUGUCACAGCCAAAGGAACUCAAGAAGAAAUGACAAGAUGUCAUGUGGCAUCCCAGACAGGAUCCUGAAAGAGAAAAUUAGGAAUUAGGUAAACACUGAGGAAAUCUAAAUUAUGAAGUUUCACUUAUGUGAAUAUAUAACAAUGUUUGUAUACAUAGGAUAUAUAGUAUUUAAAAUCAUUUUUAAUGGGUAGGAGGGAAAGUCUUUUAAUGUAAAUGUCAAUAAUAUUGUAAAGGUGGCUCGUGCUCCUGCCUUCCUGUUGGGAAUAAAACCUCAGGUCUUCCAA